rnacentral:rRNA from 1 species
GUCCAGACUCCUACGGGAGGCAGCAGUGGGGGAUAUUGGACAAUGGGGGGAACCCUGAUCCAGCGACGCCGCGUGAGUGAAGAAGUAUCUCGGUAUGUAAAGCUCUCUCAGCAGGGAAGAAGAAAUGACGGUACCUGAGUAAGAAGCCCCGGCUAACUCCGUGCCAGCAGCCGCGGUAAUACGGAGGAUGCGAGCGUUAUCCGGAUUUAUUGGGUUUAAAGGGUGCGUAGGCGGAAGGUUAAGUCAGCGGUCAAAUGUCGGUGCUCAACACCGGCCUGCCGUUGAAACUGGUCUUCUUGAGUGAGCGAGAAGUAUGCGGAAUGCGUGGUGUAGCGGUGAAAUGCAUAGAUAUCACGCAGAACUCCGAUUGCGAAGGCAGCAUACCGGCGCUCAACUGACGCUGAGGCACGAAAGCGUGGGGAUCGAACAGGAUUAGAUACCCGGGUACAA